UUUAGUUUGUAUUCUAGAAUCCAAAUUGGUAUUAAGCUUUGGAAGCUACUAUCCGAAUUUGAGCAUUUCGAACCCUAGAGUCCAAAAUGGUGUUAUCUAGAAAUAAAACAGCUCUGGUAAGAAAUUUUACAUUUACCAACAAAGGUUAUAGUGACAAGCAUUAAAACCGUAGGUAUAACUUGCUUCCUUGAUGACUUUUUGGAGAUGUUUGUAACUGAGGUAAAAGGAAAACUAUGAUGAAGCACCUAUCCUUGCUACUCAAUUUCAAUAGAAGUGUAAGAACACAUGAAAAUAAUAGAAGGGGACUCAAUUCAGAAUUCUUCUUCUUGAAACCAUUGAAAAUAAUGGAGGAGGAUUUGAAU
rnacentral:lncRNA from 1 species